GGCGUCAUAGCUCAGUUGGGAGAGCAGCAGACUGAAGUAACUUGGAAUCUGAAGGUCCCGUGUUCAAGCCACGGUGAUGCCA